rnacentral:misc_RNA from 1 species
GAAAUGCGAUACUUGGUGUGAAUUGCAGAAUCCCGUGAACCAUCGAGUCUUUGAACGCAUAUUGCGCUCUUUGGUAUUCCGAAGAGCAUGCUUGUUUGAGUAUCAGUAAACACCUCAAAACUUUUGAUUUAUUUUGAAAGCUUUGGACUUGAGCGAUCCCAACACCAAUCUUUUUAAGAUCGGCGGCGGGUUGCUUGAAAUGCAGGUGCAGCUGGACAUUCUCCUGAGCUAAAAGCAUAUUUAUUUAGUCCCGUCAAACGGAUUAUUACUUUUGCUGCAGCUAAUGUAAAGGGAGUUUGGCCGUUUUGGCUGACUGAUGCAGGAUUUCACAAGGGUCGGCAACGAUUCUUGUUAAACUCGAUCUCAAAUCAAGUAAGACUACCCGCUGAACUUAA